rnacentral:lncRNA from 1 species
GACCUCCACAUGCCCCCUGUGCCCAACACGCCUCCCCGUACCCUAUGUGCAUCCCGCACCCCACAUGCCUCUCGGUGCCCCACACACCUACCUGUGCCUCGAACCCACCUGUGCCCCACAUGCUUCCUGUGCCCCACACGCCCCUGUUCCCACACACCUGUCUGAGCCCCACAUGCCCCUGUGCCCCACACACCCCUGUGCCCCACAUUACUCCUAGGCCCCACACCGACCUGUGCCCCACAUGCCCCGUGUGCCCCAUGACUCCCUGUGCCCCCAACCCCCCCCACUCCCCACACACACCCUGUGCCCCCCACACCCUCCUGUGCCCCACACACCUCCCUGUGCCCCACAUGCCUCCCUCUGCCCCACACGUCCCUGUGCCCCCCAGCAGCACCCUGCCCCACUCCUCCCUGUCCCGUGCCCAGCCUUCCGGGGUUCUCCCGGCAUCCCGUGGGCACUGCCCUGGCCCCACGGCCCCGCACCCCGCGCGCUGCAGAGGAGGCGAGGGGAGAGGGGGGGGGGAACGCUUCGCCGUGCCCGGAGGCGUGCGGCACAGGCUGCCGCUCCUUGGCAGCCGGCAGCCCGCCAGGCCCUCGUGUGGGCCGGCCCGGUGCUGGCAGCCUCCGGCGGUGUCGGUGUCAGGACGGGUCGCGGCUCCCCACACCGGUCCCUCAGCUCUGCUGGGCACUUGGCUCCCAGCCCCUGGCCCUGCCCCUGAGGGUGUUUCAGCCCUCUACGUGUCGAGGGUUUUCUCCCGAAUUGAGCUGAGACUACCCUUGGCGCAACCGUUUCUUCCGGCCCACAGUUCGCCCUCUCCUAUCUUGCCCAACCCUGCUCUGGGCGGACUUGCAGCUCGGCAAGUCCCUCCGAAGCCGAGGCCGAGGUGAGGGAGCUCGGGGCGGGGGGGAGCCCAUGGACACCUCGGACCGUGCGAGUCCGGCCUCCGGAUCGGCAGGGAACUCGGAGGAGGGGGCCAGGUAAGGGGCGAGCCCCGAAGAGGGGACGAGGUCCGCCAGCCRCAGCCCUUCCAGGCUUGCUGUCCUCCCUCACAGUCGCUCUCCGCUCUCUGCCUUUUCUCCCC